CUACGGUAGAACACAUACAGUAAGAUAAUACAACAACAAAAUCUUUAUGGGUUCAACAAGUAUCAGGAGUAGCAUAUUUCUAGUCUGACGUUUAAACAUCACUGAUAUUGCAUUUGUUUUCCUUCUUUCUGGACAACAUCACUGGUUUGGUUUUCUCUUUUUGGAGCAUAUCACUGGUACUUGUAGAGCUAGUGUCACUGGUAUGUGAGUU
rnacentral:lncRNA from 1 species